ACACACACGCACACACACACACUAAAACACACUCUUUUACACAGAGUCAGACGGAAACCUCCCCAAUUUCUCUCUCACUGAAAACACACUGAAACUCAGUCAGCAUAAACCCCUCUCCCUCUCUCUCUCUUUUGUCCAUAUUUUCAUCAGUAUAUAAGUAAAACAAAAUAAAUAAGUAAAUAAGUAGAUGAGUUGACGAAUCGACAAUGCGGAAAUUCACUGGUUUCAAUGGCGGCGGUGGAUUGAGGAACGGCGGCGUUUCGUCGGAUCACAACCACCACGUAUCGAUUGGGAUUCGUUCUGGUGCUUUGCAUAAGCAGCAAUCCCGUUACGGUCACCAUCUUCACCACCGUCGGUUAAUAAAGGGUCGCAAGAUCUCCAUCGUCGGCGCCCUUAUUGUCUUUCUCUUCGUUGCCUUCGUCGCCUCUAUCUUCGCUUUCCUCUUCCUCUCUUCAAAAGAUAAAGACACACAUAGUAACUUAAUACAGGAUGAUGACUUCGUAAAUGAUACAGAUUUUCUUACAAAUGUUACACGUACAAAGAAACAUAAUACCGUAAAAUUUGGCCAUGGGUCGGUUACACAUGGUAAAGAUUCGCGUUAUUGGGAUGGUGAUGAUCGGAGACGAGAUGAAGAUUAUCAUGAGGAGGCUAGGGAUCAUUCUGUAAAUAAGGAUCAUGUUCCUGAGAAGGGUAAAAACAGUGGUAGGAAAUCGUCCAGUGAUGAAUCUCAUAAAGGCUUGGGUCAUAGAGGGAAUGGAUUAUAUAAUGAGGCAGGGCGUAAUGAAUUAAAAAUGUAUGAAGCUGAAUAUGAGGCAUCUUUGAAGAACAUUGGGCAGUCAAAAGAACAUGAUGGUGGAAAUCAGCUAUCUCAUGAUCGUACUAGUAGUGGAAAUGAGACUGAGAUGGUGGAUCCUGAUGAUGAGUAUGAUGAUGGUAUUGACUUACAGGAUGGUAGGAAGGAAGACGAUGGUGAAAUGGAACAGGAUGAUGGGGACCAUUCUGGUGCAACUGCAUCAUAUGAUCUAGAUGGUGGAGAGUCUGCUAAUUUACAUAAAGCCCAAACCAAGCAUCAAAAUAUUGUUCACGAGGUUGAUGAAGCUUCCACUGAUUUAUCUGACAAGGAGUCAGCUUCCAGCUCAGAACAUUCUGGCAAAGUUCCUGGUAAUUCAAGACAUGCACGUCCUAUUGAUAGUCAAUAUUCUAGAAGGUCUGCUACUGAAAAACGGUCUGGUUCCAAAAAGAAGUCAAAACGCCGUAAAUUUUCUGGUUCUUGCGAGAUGAAACUUCUAAACUCUACUGCACUGCUUGUAGAACCUUUAGAAAGCCGAAAAUUUGCAAGGUUUUCCUUGCAGUAUACAGAAGCAGAAGAAAAACCCGAUGAUGAUGAAGAGUGGCAACCUAGAUAUGCUGGGCAUCAGAGUCUAAGAGAAAGGGAAGAAUCUUUUAUUGCACAUGAUCAGAAAAUAAACUGUGGCUUUGUAAAAGGUUCUAGUGGAUAUCCUAGUACAGGAUUCGACCUGGCAGAAGAUGAUGCUAAAUAUAUAAGCAGUUGUCACAUUGCUGUGGUGUCUUGCAUUUUUGGAAAUUCAGAUCGGUUGAGAAUACCUGUUGGAAAAAUGGUCUCUCGUUUAUCCAGAAAAAAUGUUUGCUUUGUUAUGUUUGUUGAUGAAGCUACUUUACAAGCUCUUUCUUCGGAGGGCCAUAUGCUAGACAGAAUGGGCUUCAUUGGACUGUGGAAAGUUGUAGUAGUGAAGAAUCUGCCUUACACUGACAUGCGGAGAGUAGGAAAGGUUCCAAAAUUGUUGUCACACCGACUUUUUCCUUCAGCUAGGUAUUCAAUCUGGUUAGACAGCAAGCUACGUCUACAGCUUGAUCCACUGCUUAUCUUGGAAUAUUUCCUCUGGCGGAAAGGUCAUGAAUAUGCUAUUUCUAAUCACUAUGAUCGCCACUGUGUGUGGGAGGAAGUUGCUCAAAAUAAGAAGCUUAACAAGUACAAUCAUACUGUCAUAGAUGAACAAUUUCAAUUUUACCAAAAUGAUGGGCUAAAACGAUUUAAUGCAUCAGAUCCUAACAAACUUCUUCCUAGCAAUGUACCUGAAGGGUCCUUCAUUGUACGAGCUCACACACCUAUGUCAAACCUGUUUUCUUGUCUUUGGUUUAAUGAGGUUGAUCGAUUUACUCCUCGUGAUCAGCUGAGUUUCGCAUACACGUAUCAUAAGUUGAGGAGGACAAACCCAGAAAAACCAUUUUAUCUAAAUAUGUUUAAGGACUGUGAGAGGCGAAAGAUGGCCAAGUUGUUUCGUCACAGGUCAGAGGAGAGGAAAACCGUACAACAUGAUAUAGAGUAGUUCUGGAUGGAACUUUACCUGGGAAGGGUGAUUCAUUCUUUUGUAUGUUUACAUCAUUACAACUGGAUUCAUUGGUUCAAUUCUUCCGGCCCAUUUGUUGUAAAGUGAUGAUUAAUCAAUCUGCUCAAUUUGCUCCUGGUAGUCUGCCAAGUUGAUGUAUAAGAAUUGGAUGUUUGCACCUUGUGGACACGGCUCCAGGAAAGGCAGGAUUACAGGGGUUCAAGGCACCAAUAGCAUCAGAUUCAGAGUCUCACUGCUGCUACACCAAAUUCAAUAGAUACAAACUGCACUAAUUUAAGUUUUGCUGCAUGGGAGUAAUCUGCUGCAGCAACUUGUUUCUUCCUCUAAGAACCUCUUCGAAAACUUUGGUGACUUCCAAUUCAAAUACCUCGAGACUAACCUUCACAGCAGCCGAUUUCUCUUGGAUUGAUGCUUUGGUUCUUUUUAACUUAUCUAUAUCUGUUGCAAUUUGCUUUUCAGUCUGAGAUUUUGUCUCUGUUAUCUCCUGUUCAAUCAUUUCAUGCCCAAGAAAUGCUACAAAAAGAUUGUCAACAUGGAUGUUGGAUUUGUUGUUAAAACAUUUUGCAAGCUCUUGGACUGAAUCUACAAAUAAUUUCAUCUGAGGAAGUUCACAAUGAAUUUCCUUUUCAAGUUCUACUGGAAUUGGACAGAAAAUUAUACAGAAAAGGAUUGAGGAUAUAAUGGUCAUGGCACCUGUGAUUGCUCAUAUAAUAUUUGUGGUACUAUUC